rnacentral:piRNA from 1 species
UGGAUACGCUCUUCUUGGUUA